rnacentral:SRP_RNA from 1 species
UGUUGGUUCUCCCGCAACGCUACUCUGUUUACGUGUCAGGUCCGGAAGGAAGCAGCCAAGGCAGAUGACGCGUGUGCCGGGAUGUAGCUGGCAGGG